rnacentral:lncRNA from 10 species
GUACAGCGCCCGCGCGCCCGCGAGCCCGCUCCGGCUCUCCCAUGCUUGCCCCUCGGGGUGCUCCUUCUGCGCUCUCCGCCUGGACUGCAGGAAAAGGCUGCUUAAACAGCCUGCCUUUUCCUGCUGCCUGACUCGCGCCAUCUGCGGCCACCUGUCUCGUUUCUUCCCCCUGGCUGGCGCACCCUUCCUUCCUAAACAUCCCAAACUUUCUCCCACCCAGGCUGUCCAGGCUGCAGUUUCUACGCCCUGCGCUGGGGCCUGUGCAUCACGCCUAAUCCAAAGCUGGUCCUUUUACCUCCCAAAAAGAGCCAGGAGGGACUCUUCUUUGGCUUGCCACUGUGAAACCUGGUGAUGUUGAUGGAGGUCAUGUUCCUGAAGGUAUGAGGGCCCUCCCGAGACUGAGCCACCAGGCGUUUCUCACUCUCAAGCUAGUCCAUGCCCAGACUCCAGUAAUUUGUCAAAAUUACCAUUUAAGUGUUCCUAUCAGUUUAUAGCCCUAGCAGCUUCUUCAGGUAAGCAGAUUUCAGCUGUGACUGUCUGGUUUCACCUGUCUCUUCAGAUUUCUGGAUGACAAUUUGUCCUACAACUCAAUUCUCUGAUGGGUCCAAAAAAAGUCAUUGUUUUCCCAUUUUUCCAGUUUCUCUGAUUGUAAAGACAGCUGCAACAACAUCCAAGCUCUUUACAGUCAGAGCCCAAAC